GUGAAUCAUCAAAUUUUUGAACGCAAAUUGCGCUUCCUGGCAACAGGGGGCGUAUGCGUGUUUGAGGGUCAGUAUUAAUAAAAACUCGGUUUAGUUGCAAAGUGUGACGUUUGAGGAGUUUGGACUAUCUUAACAUUUUUGGUUAAGAGGCUUAAAAUUGACCUUUUUUGCGCAUUUCUAAAUGUACAUAAAUUUUUUUUUCUUCGUCUAUACUUAAUGCUAAAAUCUUAUUAGAUGAGAUCACAUCGUGUGGCUAAGUGUCCAUAAAAUUGUCAUGAUUUGAC
rnacentral:misc_RNA from 1 species